UGGGCUUGUCUUCUCUUAUUAUGAAUAUCAUCAUUAUUUAAUGACAACACUGGAAUUUUCUGUUUUAUAGAAAGUAAUGAAUCAUCCAGCUAUCUAUGAAGGCAGAGUAUGACAGAUGUGACAGUCCACAGAAGAUUCUGUCAGCACUUCCUUGAGUACAGCUGGUGGUCUUGUUACAGGCAGAAGGGCCCACUCAACAUAUCCAGUAUUAGGUAUUUCCUACUUAUAAGGUUGCAUCUGGGAAAGACUGAAAAUGAAUGCAUCGAGAGCUCUGAGUGCCACAGGAUGAAGCUCAUCAAUGAGAUAACCACUAUGGGCUCGAAUACAAUACUAGAAGAGGAGAAGAGUAGGACACAGCUAGCAUAGAUGGAAGAAUGACCAUGUGAGGACAUAGCAAGAAGCCAGCGACUGUCUGCAAGCCAUGGAAAAAAACCUCAGAAAGAAAGCCUGUUGACACCUUAAUCUUGAAUUUCUAACCUCCAGAAAUGUGAGAAAAUAAAUUUCUGUUAUUUAAUCCA
rnacentral:lncRNA from 13 species